rnacentral:tRNA from 1 species
GCGCCCGUAGCUCAGCUGGAUAGAGCGCCACUCUACGGAAGUGGAAGUCGCACGUUCGAAUCGUGCCGGGCGCG